CAAGCGGCGAGGAUAAUAGCUAGGGCAAAAUCCCCGAAGAAGGGAGAAGAGAGAGCGAAGAAUGGUGAAGGGAAGGAUGGGAAGCACAACGGUGGAGAAAAUCGCAGAAGAGCUUCAUAAAGAGAUUGAAGAGCUCCAUAGACAGCAGUGGGAGAUCACAGAACGCCUUUGAGAUCCUAGAGGCAUCCGACGUGUUGGAUUGACUGCCAAUGGGCCACGCAACUUUGGCGGUCCCAAUGGAGUCCGUCGACGGGGUCUCAUCAGACCUGCGGAUAGGGUUGACUCUGAGGAUCAGUCUGCACCAAAGCGGCAGCUUUCUUCAGUAGUGGUCAAGGUUGAGGAAGGAGAACUCACGGAGGAUGCGGCUGGAGCAAAAGCUGCGAAGGAACCGAAUUUAACCACAGAAGGAGGACCUGCUGCAAUGGAAGCGACUGAUAGAAGGGCGUUCGAUCUGCAGCAGCGUGGCAGCUUUAGGAGGGAUGGGAAUCAGAGGGAGUUGAGGAUGAUGGACGUCGAAGCUCAACCAACGGAGCACGUGCCAAGGGUCUUGCCGAAAGAUAAAGACCCGAGUUUGGUUAAGAGGAACAGAAGAAUGUUGGGACAGCUGUUGG